CCAGAGCUGUGCAUCCUCUGCCACUCCUAUUCCAUUCCAAUUCAUCCCAUGUGAGUCUCCACAGUGACACUGCUGCAGCAUGCCAGGGAGCACAGCGUCCCAUUGUGACCCUCUGUUUCUAGGACACUCCUUGUUGCCAGCUGCCUUUGAUUGGAUUUCCUGGGAGCAGAGCCAGAGAAAAAUGUAUUAAGAUGUCUUUUAUUAAAUGUCGACAAGCUUGUGCCUGAAUACUCAGAUCUACAUCUUAAAAGCUGUUAAAUCCAAAAAGAAGACAAAGGAGAAAGAGAAGAAGAAAAGACAAAGUUAUGUGUACCUUGGAUGUUAAAAGGGGGAAGUUUGGAUACAGAGACAUACACACAGGGUCAACACCAUGGGGAGAUGAGCCAAAGGUGAAGGUUAUAUUCUACCAGCCAAGGAACUCCAAAGAUUGCCAGCACACCUCCAGAGUGUGGACGAGAGCUGGAGGAGAGCAUGGAACAAAUUCUGUCUCGUAGAAGGAGACACCAUGACUUUGGACUUCUAGUCUCCAGAACUAUGAGACAAUAAGAUGCUGUUCUCCAAGCUUCCUAGUGGAACUUUGUUAUGUCAAGCUUGGAAAAAUAAAAUACAUACCAUUUGCUGUGUU